rnacentral:rRNA from 1 species
UAGGGAAUCUUCGGCAAUGGACGGAAGUCUGACCGAGCAACGCCGCGUGAGUGAAGAAGGUUUUCGGAUCGUAAAGCCCUGUUGUAAGAGAGGAACGAGUGUGAGAGUGGAAAGUUCACACUGUGACGGUAUCUUACCAGAAAGGGACGGCUAACUACGUGCCAGCAGCCGCGGUAAUACGUAGGUCCCGAGCGUCGUCCGGAUUUAUUGGGCGUAAAGCGAGCGCAGGCGGUUAGAUAAGUCUGAAGUUAAAGGCUGUGGCUUAACCAUAGUAGGCUUUGGAAACUGUUUAACUUGAGUGCAAGAGGGGAGAGUGGGAUUCCAUGUGUAGCGGUGAAAUGCGUAGAUAUAUGGAGGAACACCGGUGGCGAAAGCGGCUCUCUGGCUUGUAACUGACGCUGAGGCUCGAAAGCGUGGGGGGCAAACAGGAUUAGAUACCCUGGUAGUCCACGCUGUAAACGAUGAGUGCUAGGUGUUAGACCCUUUCCGGGGUUUAGUGCCGUAGCUAACGCAUUAAGCACUCCGCCUGGGGAGUACGACCGCAAGGUUG